UGCUGGAUUUAAAAAAAAAGAAAAAAGAAAAAAGAAAAAAAGAAAAAAAGAAAAAAAGAAGAAAGAAACCUGACACUCCUCAAACCCAUAGUAAAGAGGUCCAAGGCACUAUAUGUGGCCCCUUCCACCUUCCAAAACAGUUCUGAGAAUUCAGCAGGAUGCUAAAUCAAAAUUGUCAUGUCUCUUGGUAAUUUCAAAGCUCACUUGCAGAUCAUCCCAGACUAAACUGGAAUUUGCCAGGAAUUUGUGAACAUAAAGAUUCCGAUUUGGGUCAUAUUUUAGGUGCAGCCCUUUUCCUCGUGAGUGAUAUGACAGCAUGGUUUACCCUGAUGUGGUUUCCUCUCCAACCACCUCCUAUUCAAGAAUAAGACCUGUUCAGGUGGAGUUUGUUCAGAGUACGUGUGUUGAUGCCAGCUGAUCCCAGUAAAGGAUGCUGAAAUAGCUACAUCUUUGUGCCAGUUAAAGUGCUGAACCAGGAGGAGCCAAGAACAAGGCAUUCUCCUAGAUGGAGUUCCCUCCUUCUCAUCCAUAAGUCUCUCUGAGGGAAAAAGUGAAAAAAGAACUAAGAAAAUUUAAAAAAAAAAUCAGCCUUUGCACAACGAUGCAUAGCCUGGACUACGAGGAAGAGGCCCUGCUUGGUCUGCACUGUAGCUUCACUACAGAGCACAGAGAUUUACUACGGACAGUGUCGACUUCCACCCAGGGAACGCGAGUCUGACAUGCAGCAGACAUGAGUCCAGUGCAGUGCAUUCAGCUGGCUGUAAACCAGCCGAGAAAGGGGGUAAACUUUCUGACACCAAGUCUAGCACAGUUGCAGCCAGCCUGCCUCCUGAAUGAACUAACUUAAAACUAGAUUGAAUAUCUCCACCCUACACCACAGUCACAUUUGAAAUUACAGUGGAGACACAGGCAAGAUCCAUUUUUCCCCCCGUUUGCUGCAAUUAGAAGCAGUAGUUGCCAAUGAGCUAGAAAUAACAUGAUAUCUAAUGCAGAUAGACACCUUGAAGUCUAGCAAGUCAUUUUGAGCUUGCAACAUAUAUUUGGACUUUUCUUCCUUGCAAAAUUCCCAGAGCGUUCUGUUGCAAACCCAGUAAUAACAUGGAUAUGUGAAGGUAUAUAGAAAGAAGUGAUGAA